UACGGGGGGAGCAAGCGUUGUUCGGAUUUACUGGGCGUAAAGGGCGCGUAGGCGGUCAGCACAAGUCAGUUGUGAAAUCUCCGGGCUUAACUCGAAAGGUCAACUGAUACUGUGCGACUAGAGUGCAGAAGGGGCAACUGGAAUUCUCGGUGUAGCGGUGAAAUGCGUAGAUAUCGAGAGGAACACCUGCGGCGAAGGCGGGUUGCUGGGCUGACACUGACGCUGAUGCGCGAAAGCCAGGGGAGCGAACGGG
rnacentral:rRNA from 1 species